rnacentral:rRNA from 2 species
UGUGAGCUCGAUGAGUAGGGCGGGACACGUGGUAUCCUGUCUGAAUAUGGGGGGACCAUCCUCCAAGGCUAAAUACUCCUGACUGACCGAUAGUGAACCAGUACCGUGAGGGAAAGGCGAAAAGAACCCCGGCGAGGGGAGUGAAAAAGAACCUGAAACCGUGUACGUACAAGCAGUGGGAGCCUCUUAAUGGGGUGACUGCGUACCUUUUGUAUAAUGGGUCAGCGACUUAUAUUCUGUAGCAAGGUUAACCGAAUAGGGGAGCCGAAGGGAAACCGAGUCUUAACUGGGCGUUAAGUUGCAGGGUAUAGACCCGAAACCCGGUGAUCUAGCCAUGGGCAGGUUGAAGGUUGGGUAACACUAACUGGAGGACCGAACCGACUAAUGUUGAAAAAUUAGCGGAUGACUUGUGGCUGGGGGUGAAAGGCCAAUCAAACCGGGAGAUAGCUGGUUCUCCCCGAAAGCUAUUUAGGUAGCGCCUCGUGAAUUCAUCUCCGGGGGUAGAGCACUGUUUCGGCAAGGGGGUCAUCCCGACUUACCAACCCGAUGCAAACUGCGAAUACCGGAGAAUGUUAUCACGGGAGACACACGGCGGGUGCUAACGUCCGUCGUGAAGAGGGAAACAACCCAGACCGCCAGCUAAGGUCCCAAAGUCAUGGUUAAGUGGGAAACGAUGUGGGAAGGCCCAGACAGCCAGGAUGUUGGCUUAGAAGCAGCCAUCAUUUAAAGAAAGCGUAAUAGCUCACUGGUCGAGUCGGCCUGCGCGGAAGAUGUAACGGGGCUAAACCAUGCACCGAAGCUGCGGCAGCGACACUAUGUGUUGUUGGGUAGGGGAGCGUUCUGUAAGCCUGUGAAGGUGGCCUGUGAGGGUUGCUGGAGGUAUCAGAAGUGCGAAUGCUGACAUAAGUAACGAUAAAGCGGGUGAAAAGCCCGCUCGCCGGAAGACCAAGGGUUCCUGUCCAACGUUAAUCGGGGCAGGGUGAGUCGACCCCUAAGGCGAGGCCGAAAGGCGUAGUCGAUGGGAAACAGGUUAAUAUUCCUGUACUUGGUGUUACUGCGAAGGGGGGACGGAGAAGGCUAUGUUGGCCGGGCGACGGUUGUCCCGGUUUAAGCGUGUAGGCUGGUUUUCCAGGCAAAUCCGGAAAACCAAGGCUGAGGCGUGAUGACGAGGCACUACGGUGCUGAAGUGACAAAUGCCCUGCUUCCAGGAAAAGCCUCUAAGCAUCAGGUAACAUCAAAUCGUACCCCAAACCGACACAGGUGGUCAGGUAGAGAAUACCAAGGCGCUUGAGAGAACUCGGGUGAAGGAACUAGGCAAAAUGGUGCCGUAACUUCGGGAGAAGGCACGCUGAUAUGUAGGUGAAGCGACUUGCUCGUGGAGCUGAAAUCAGUCGAAGAUACCAGCUGGCUGCAACUGUUUAUUAAAAACACAGCACUGUGCAAACACGAAAGUGGACGUAUACGGUGUGACGCCUGCCCGGUGCCGGAAGGUUAAUUGAUGGGGUUAGCGGUAACGCGAAGCUCUUGAUCGAAGCCCCGGUAAACGGCGGCCGUAACUAUAACGGUCCUAAGGUAGCGAAAUUCCUUGUCGGGUAAGUUCCGACCUGCACGAAUGGCGUAAUGAUGGCCAGGCUGUCUCCACCCGAGACUCAGUGAAAUUGAACUCGCUGUGAAGAUGCAGUGUACCCGCGGCAAGACGGAAAGACCCCGUGAACCUUUACUAUAGCUUGACACUGAACAUUGAGCCUUGAUGUGUAGGAUAGGUGGGAGGCUUUGAAGUGUGGACGCCAGUCUGCAUGGAGCCGACCUUGAAAUACCACCCUUUAAUGUUUGAUGUUCUAACGUUGGCCCGUAAUCCGGGUUGCGGACAGUGUCUGGUGGGUAGUUUGACUGGGGCGGUCUCCUCCUAAAGAGUAACGGAGGAGCACGAAGGUUGGCUAAUCCUGGUCGGACAUCAGGAGGUUAGUGCAAUGGCAUAAGCCAGCUUGACUGCGAGCGUGACGGCGCGAGCAGGUGCGAAAGCAGGUCAUAGUGAUCCGGUGGUUCUGAAUGGAAGGGCCAUCGCUCAACGGAUAAAAGGUACUCCGGGGAUAACAGGCUGAUACCGCCCAAGAGUUCAUAUCGACGGCGGUGUUUGGCACCUCGAUGUCGGCUCAUCACAUCCUGGGGCUGAAGUAGGUCCCAAGGGUAUGGCUGUUCGCCAUUUAAAGUGGUACGCGAGCUGGGUUUAGAACGUCGUGAGACAGUUCGGUCCCUAUCUGCCGUGGGCGCUGGAGAACUGAGGGGGGCUGCUCCUAGUACGAGAGGACCGGAGUGGACGCAUCACUGGUGUUCGGGUUGUCAUGCCAAUGGCACUGCCCGGUAGCUAAAUGCGGAAGAGAUAAGUGCUGAAAGCAUCUAAGCACGAAACUUGCCCCGAGAUGAGUUCUCCCUGAGACUUAGAGUCUCCUGAAGGAACGUUGAAGACGACGACGUUGAUAGGCCGGGUGUGUAAGCGCAGCGAUGCGUUGAGCUAACCGGUACUAAUGAACCGUGAGGCUUAACCUU